rnacentral:lncRNA from 1 species
CUCCUCAUGAAAAAUAAUUACAUCUGGUUUAGAGUUAAAGCUAAGGAGGCACUGAGAAGCAGUUAGUUAAGGAAUUCAUUUACAAAUUAUAAUAGCCGUUGGGUAAAAAAUAUUAUAAUUGAGAUGGCUUGAGAAUAAAACAUCGCCGUAAUUUUUUUUUAUUUACCUUUAUUGAUUUCAAAGGUGUCAACCCAGGAUUAGCUCGUUAGCUAAAUUAUUAGCUGAAUGGUGGCUAAUGCGGACUGUCUCACCACAGCCACGUUGAGUGUUUGCGGGUUAAACAGUCAGAACGUGGCCUCUUCUUAAAAUACCUCUCCUCUGAAAACCUCUCACGUGCUCGCACGAACACAAGUAGACGAGCAGGAGCACGUUCAGACAGACAGGCGAUCGGUUCAAAACCAAGCCACGUGCUGCCUCUCAUCGCUCAGCCUGUGUGCGACUACGCUUUGCCAACUCGCGCAGGCUGCAGCCCAAACAUGUGACGCUCAACUCUGAGGGGGUAUGGAUCGGUUCCUGAAAGCCAUCCUGAUGGACGUGAGGAGCUGUGACGCUGAGGAACAGUGCAGGACAAACACAGUAGGCAGGAAGAAGAGGAAGCUGAAUGAGGACCAGGAGAAAGGUGAUGAUUUUGUCGUGAUUAGUGGCGUCCCGACAGGCUGAGGCGACUCCCCCUGUGUCUAAACAAUAGAUAAUAUCUCUUUACUGAAUGAAAUGGAGGGAAACGGUUCAACGAACUGGGAGAACAUGUCUCCCUGCUGUGUUUACUCGGUAGAUGCCUGUAGCGCUCUCGCGUCUCGCUCCCAUUUUGUUUGAAGCAGCGAUAACAUCUGUAUAUUAAAAGAAAGUGAGAAAGACGUAUGAUACAGACAGAAUAAAUGUCCUCCUUUGCUUCA